ACCAGGAGCAGGCCCACAUUCCUGGAGGAAUGCAGGGGGUGCCACUAGCAGCAUCUCCCAAGCCCAUUCAAGGCAGCCCCACAGGUUGUUUGCAGGCCUCUACUGAGAAUCUUGGUGGCACUGCCUCUCAUCCAGGGACCACAAACAAAGUCCUCCUGGGUGCAACUAGGGGCACUGGAAUGGGCAGCCCCAGAGACCUGUUCGCCCCAACUCCCAGAGGACAGUGGGGAGAGAGGUAUACCAAAAAUAGCUCCCCAACCAUGGCACAAGCCUCCAGUGGAUUCACCAAGAGGCAGCAGAGUGUACAGGGGAGAACUGUGGAUGACCUGAACCAUCUGGCCCUUGGCUAUCUUAACUGUAAAAUAGGCAUCACGAUGCCCAUACUUUACAGGGCAGUGGUGAUAAUUAUAAGAAAAAAGGUGUUUCGUUCCCUGCCUGACAUAUAGGAGGUGCUUUAAUAAUCUCUUUCUUGUCUUUCUCAUCAGUUUCAUCAGUUUCUGAUAUUAAGUCUCCAGAAAGCAGUAAAUGGGUCUAACUUGAGCCCUAAAUCCCCUUGUCCUGGGAUAACCAUCCUGGGGCCUCAGCUAGGUUUGUGGUGACCUAGGAUUAGGUUUUCUCACUGAGCGGCUUCCUGCCCCAUUCCCUUCCUGUCUCUUUUGUCUCUGGGAACCAUCUUGUCUUCCUGGUUCCCAAGAAUUGGUCUAGUACAGAUCCCACCCCAAUCCAAGGAGAAAAGGCCACACUCAAACCAGAUACUCCCCUAGUCCAGAUACCCCCCAAGACUGGCCCAGACCAGGUUUCUCAUUCCAGAGACUCGCCACAGUUACAGUGACUGGUCAAACAGUGGUGACUGACACCCAUGAGUACCAGUGAGUGAUACAGCUCUUCCCACACUGACCUGUCAAUCUCUGGUGCCUCCCACCCCCAGCACUGACAGAGGAGGGUCCUGCAGAGAGCCAACCACCUUGUCCCACAACCAACCAGCAACCACAGUCCCCUCAGCUGGGUCAGAACCGGCAACUGUCUGUGUCCCCUGUAGACUGUCUGCUCCAUAAAAAUGGAGGUCAAGUCUUUCCCGUUCACCUCUGUGCAUCAGUGCCUGGCACACAGCAGGAGAUAAAGGCUGGGGAAUGAGUGAAUUGAAUGAACAAAUGUCUGAUCUCUAGCUCCUGACUAUACACUUGCUUGGCUGCUGGGUUCUGGUUUUCUCCACUCUGAAUAAGGCCCAGCCUUUGAUCAAUAGCCUACCACCAUUUAACAGGAAGAUCCCAGUACCUGAGGGUAGAGAGAUGGGUAGAAAGCUGGGGGAAGUCACUGACCUGGCCUGCCUGCCACACCGCCAUCUCCCAGCCUCCAUGGGGUCCUCCAACCACCUCUGGGGGGGCCCUUGGAGGGAGGCCUCUAUGGGGAGGUCUAGAUGGAGUCAGAUAAUAGGAGUCAGGGGUGGGGGAUGGAGGUAGGGGAUUAUUUUGCCCCUUUAAAUAUACCCUGGCUGUGGCAGGCCAGGAUACCUCUGCUGAGUCCCAGCUGUCAGCCAUGAGGAGCCACAGCUUCGCUCCCCAGGAAGCGGGCAAUAUUGCAAUAUCAUGGCAUCAGCUCCAGCUCCCCAGCUCUGGCAUGGCCCUUAGAUUGGAUUUGGAUGUCUCCGUCCCUCAAAUCUCACUGUUCUGUCUCUGGGUCAGAGUUCCUGCCCAACCUGGCUAUGAUUCCACCCAGCCCCUUACCCUGGAACCACUUCUAGAAUGGAUUUUCUCCUUCAAGGGCCUUGAGGUGGUAGGAUGACCUCUUGGGGGUGGAGAGAGCAGGGUGUGGAGGGCAGGUCAGGCCCCUGAGGUCCAAAUGCUCCUCUCACCUGGCACAUGAGCACCAACAAGAUGCUCUAGCUCCACUGAAUGUAGAGGCCCUUUAAAUCCAAGGAGGCAAGUUUGUGUCUGGUUGUGCAGUCAGGCCUGGGACAUGGAGCCUCACUUGGUGCUUGCACAUGGUGCUUGGAAACAGAAGAAUAGGGUUAAAUACUCCUAAGGGAACCAGCGAGACAGGACCUGGAUGCUCAUUCUCCUUAUGCAAAGCCCAGGUGCUUAAGUAACUAUCCUCUCUCUCCUACAAGGAGCAGCCCAUUAAAAUCCCACCCUGUGGGCAAUGAGGUUCAAGCCACCCCUGGUUCUGCUCCAGUUAUCAAUGCUGGGGAAAGCACACCCUGCAUAAUGCCAGUGCUCCAGAGCAGCGUUGUUCAUGCCCAAGCAUGAAGGAGUCAAUCAGAUGCCUGCCCAGGAGGCACUGGUUAAGGCAGGGGGAGGGGAGGAGAACAGGGUCCCCUGGGGUGGGUUGGAGCCCGGAGGGAUGAGAAUCUCCUAUUCUGUUAUCUUCAGGAGCUGGUUAAGGUCUGCUCCAAUGUGCUGAGCCACUUCCUUGCUAUCCCCGCCCGACUUCCUUCCCACCCACAUAUCCACGCAGGAAAGAUGUGUGGCAAGCACUCAGAGAAUGCCAGGACACGGGCUGGUGGGCACGACACAGGUGAGGCGAUGAGAAGGGCCCAGGUAGACAAGAAAGAGUCUGGGAAAACAGGAUUCCCCAGUGCACACAAGGAGAAAUGGGGCAGUAAAAGGGUCAGGCAAAUCCCUACCCCGAUACCAGUGGGGGUCAGGGGAGCCCUCCAAUGUUUGGCUUUUGAGAUCCCUGCACCAAGCCUCUCUUUAAGCGCCAGAGCUAUUGCUUUCAUGGAUCUUGUUUAACUUGAGAAGGACGGGGGAGGGGGCCAAGGAAAACUGCAUUCUUCCCCAUCAAAGCCAAGAGUCUAAAGUAAUACUUCUGGUUGUAACUGAUCCAGCCUGUUUGUGAUUACGGGCCCUUUGCUUGCUUUCUGGCAGGGCAGCCCUGGAACCCCGCAGCCCAGCCGACAGGGAGAGAUACCCUCGCUCACUUGGAUAAUCUUGUCCUCAUCUGACAUAACCAAGAACGUCCAUCAGCCUCUCUGCUUUCAGCAGUUCUCCAGGGCAACUCUUCAAAACAUUAUUUUAAAAAGGAGGGGAAGCCACCCCAAACUCCUAUCAUGAAAUUCCAUGACAUUCAUCAUAUUCUUUCUGUUCCCGGCACUAUCCUAAAAACCACGAGAAGCAUCAGCUGGCCUACUGGCUAUUGCAAAUUACAAAAUCAGAUCAUCUUUUGCUUCUGCCCCACCUCCCACCCUUUUGUCAGGGGAGAAAACGCACAUGCCCCCUCACAUGCAUAUGCACACCCUUUUGCUGCCAUAGUACAGAAGUGGCUCAGGGAAGCUCAAGACUAUUUCUCAGCUGUUCCAGAAAUUUCAUCUGUGAUGCAUUUGGCUGCACAAAGCCCAUUCCAAAGGUGUUCAGGAGUCCACAAUCCCUGUGAUCAUCAUUACAAACCCAAGGACGUUUGUAGCCAGUGACCCAUUUGGCUGCGGGGGAGAGCUGGCUGAAGGCUUGCCAACAUGGUCAAAUUCCCCUCGCCUGCUCCCUCUGAGCUGAAACUGGCCUGUUUUCAGGUCCCUAGGGGUAAGAGGGAAUCUUAGGAGCUCCAGAACUACAGAGAUAAAGUGGGCUUCUUGCCCAGCUUGGUAACAGCACAAUGGUCAGGGGAAUGGGGUAGCUUGGUAUCUGGAAAGCAACCAUGGCCACUGUCUCCACUCCUAAUCACCCCUCCAUGCUGUGGAUGAGCAAAGCUGGUGCUCAGAGAGGUGAAGUGGCUUGCCUGAGGUCACUUGGUUGUUUGGUAGCUGAGCUUAGAGUCUGGGUUGACCAAGCUCCUCUUAUGCAAAGCCUGGCCUUCCUCCCACGAUGGCAUGCCACUGCUCUGCCCAUUAACAUGACACUCUGAGCACCAUGCCAAGUGGCUAUUCCUUGACCCAAUGCCUCCAGCAAGAAGUGAGUGUCUAGAACUGGCAGAAAGCCCCACCAGUGCACAGAAAGGUCAUUUGGCCAAACCAGGCAUGGGAGACUCAAGCAGCCAGUGCUUCACGUGCUGGCUUGUGGUCUCAGGCGCAAGACCCCAAGCCCUGUAUCCUUGCCAACCUGCAUGCUACCCCUGAUGCAGCAGCUCAAGAUCCUGCUGUAAUCAAAAGAUGGUAAAGAGACAACCCUAGGAUGCUGUCACCUUCAGCAAUGGGAAGACAGGGACAGCUGCCUCUUGUCCACGUGCACCCCAGUGCUGGGCAUGCCACAGGGCACACAAUUCCCUCUGACCUGCUGCCCGUGGCCUUUCUCCUGCCCCAGUGGGGCUUUAGCACGACUGACCACUGCUUUCCUGCUCUCUGUGGCCAGGGAACUCACGUGGUGAAGCACUCUGGAGUUUGGCUUUGCAAAGAAGUGAAAUCUACAAUGCAAACAUCCAGAUCUCCAAACCCUGGUCAAAUGGCAGUGACUGAAGCUCAUACCCCACCUCCCAGCUAUGCAACCUUGGGGCAAGUCACUUCACCUCUCUAGGCUUCAACUUCCUCCUUGGAAAGACAGAAUGCCAACAUCCAUCCUGCCUCUUGCCAAGAUGUUUUAUAGACUGCAUGGUUUUAUAUCUUGUAAAACAUAAAAUACUGUGAUUCAGAAAGAGAUCACCUUUAAAAAAGUCCAAAAUCCCCCCCUCUUAGCUAGCACGAGCAGGCAUCCCUCCAGGUGGCCUUGACCUCCCCAAUAACCCUCCUGGCAGGAGUGUGGAAGAACAGAACAUGCAGGCUUCUGGCCACUGUCCUUAGAGCUUUCCAGGACAUGGGGAUCCCAGGGCAACCUGUGGCACUGCCAAUGGGCCCCGUCAAGAGGGGAGAGAGGGAUCUGCUAUCGCACACCAGUCUCAAAAUCCACCCACAGUUCACUUGCUUUACGGACAGUCCUUGGCAGACUUACUCUGAGUUUGGCCUUUGCUCAUUUCCCAUGGUGCUCCUGGGCCACUUCCCCACAAUCCGAUCCAAUAAAAACUCAGGGGAGGCAAACGAACUUUAGCCGGAGCCUGAGAGAUGCCCAGCUAAGAAGGGGAGUGUGGAGCUGGGGCUGAGACAGUUGGAUGAAACAAAACCAAUGAUAAUCAUGCACGGCAUAUUUCAGAGGGAAAUGAACUCGGGGAUUCUAUGAGCCAGAAGCUUCCAUCCGUCCCCUGGGAUUCCACAGCUCAGCUCCCAGGAUGGGAAGCCCUGCUGAGCGACUUUGCAGGCCAUCUGGGUGAACUGGGUCACCACAGCUACACCCCCACAAUGAGGCCAGGAUUCUAGGUCAGCACUGGAAACCCAGAGGAUGAGGUUAUGGAAUCUGAAAAGAUGCUGAGAGGGACGAGGGCGGCCGUCCCCCACUCCCACCGGAACAAUUACAGAAAACCCAACUGCUGAAGGGUGUAAUAUCACACAGCCACAGGAUAAGCUGGGGAGAGAAUGAGGAAGGGGCAAUUUCCCAACCCAAAUUCCCCGAGGUCCUGAAAAAUUAUACUCCCCAGAAAGUGUUUGCUUUACACUUCGCUGAAAUCUGUUAUGUAACAGUGGAGAAAAUGUGUGGGGUGAUCUUUUCCCUGUACUUCAGCCGGGGAGGGGGGUGAGAGACCUGUCAUUUCUACUGGGGACAAAGGCAGUGUCUGUGUGUUGGCGGCAGGCAGAGGAUCUCCAGGGCUGCCCACUCACAGGGCACCUGUGCAAAGGUACACCUGAGUCAGAGGAGGCAAGUCACCUCUGGCAGCUCCGCUGCGGGGCUCCGAGUAGGCAUGCAGUGACAGCUGUACCUAGAAUAAUACUCCUUGGCCCGGCACCCGUCUCUGCCCUUGCUCACUCCUGCCCUCCCAGAACCAGUGGGCCUUCUGCUGUUCCCUGCAUUCACCAAGGCCCACCUGUCCCCAGCUUUAACAACACCUCAAUGGUGUCUUUCCUGACCACACCCCUGCCCCCUCCCUGCUGCUGACCUCUCCACAGCGCCUGCUUGUUUCCUGACUUGUACUUGUCAACACCUAGAAUUACUUCCUUGGUUUACUUGUUACAUGUCUCUCUGCAAUAUUGGAGCCCCAUGAGGGCUUUGUUGGCCUCUGUCACUUCUGGAUCCCAGCCUGACACUUAGUCAGCUCAUACAGAUUUACUGAUGACCGACCGACCAGCCAUCGGAAGACUGGCUUCACAGGCCCCUUGGUGUUCAAACUUGGAAAAAUAACAUUUUGGAGAUGCUCAUGGGCUCAGUCAGUAGAAACCUGUUUGUCCUCCAAAGGGAAGGCGGCCAGGUAUUGCCCUGAGGCUACAACUGGGGUGAGCAGUGGUUGUCACUCUGGCACUUCUGUGGGAUUUCCAGGGCUGCAUGCCACACCGAGGCCACCACUGACCCAUAUAUUUUGCUGAGAAAUAACUACUCAAGGAAAAUGGCCUUGGAGGAGUUUGGGACACGAGAGGUCCACAGAGCCAGUAGGUCCACAGAGUCAGGCCACAGCAACUGGACACUAGGCCUGUCCAACCUGGGCAGGGUGACAGCGUGGUGGAGGGAGCACCCCCAUGCUCACUGCCCCACCUGCCUGCCUGGCAGCUGGCUCCACACAGGUGGCUGGCAGCACUUGGCGUUGACAAGCCCUUGGAUGCCUCCCUGACAAUAGGCACUGCGGAUCCAGCUGGAGGAAAGCACUAUUUGCAGAGCCGCCCAGCGCCUGCCACACCUGUGCCUGCCACCCUCCUCCCCACGCAGCCCGGAGGGCUUGCCUCAAGGCUCACCCUUCUCAGGGAGCUCUCCUGCUCACCAGCUUCCCGAGGCCCUACCCUCCCACCUCCUCCUGCCCAGCUCCCACUUUUCUUCUGCUUGGGGCACCUAGAUGCAUGGCUGCUUUGCAGUCGCAGCCCCACCACGCCCCGUACUCCUUGCUCUGCCUGUGUAAUCCCUUCAUUCUCCCAGCCCUGCUCAAUGCCUCCAGGAAGCCUUCUCAACUAUGCUUGUCUUCACCCCUGACACUUCAGCUCUGUACCAUGCAACAGGGCUACUGAGGGACCAUCAGCGUGGGGUUGUCAUGAAAGCCCCCAAUCCCAUGAGGCCACCAGUGGGACCCUGACUUCUGUCGCCAAUGCUUCUUCCUGCUGGACUCUGUUGAUUAGGCUGGGACAAGGAUAGCUGCCCAAGCAAGGACUCCAGGGGAGUGAGUCUGGCCACAGAAUGGGUUGUCUUGGCCUCACUGCCUGACAGUAAAGCCCCCUGCCGCUAUAGCCACCUCACAGACCCUCAGGACUGACAGUCCUCAGAUACCACCAAGUCAAUUCUAUGACUAGAUGGGGAAAUUGAGGCCACAAGAGAGAAACUGGCCCCCUGCAGGUCCCAGGGUCGAUCUGUGGCAGAGCCGCCCCAAUCAGUGGUCUUUCUAGUGGCUGUCACUUAUUGAGCACCCACUGUGUGUCAGGCCCUGCAUGAAGCACUAAAUUUCUUUUGUCUUUAUUAUUAUUAUUAUUAUUUGUAGAGACAGGGCCUCACUAUGUUGCCCGGGCUGGGCUUG